rnacentral:tRNA from 1 species
GGAGUUGUAGCUUAGUGGUAGAGCACUCGCCUUGCAUGUGGAAAGCACUAGGUUCUAUCCUCAGCACCA